UACGGAGGGGGCUAGCGUUGUUCGGAAUUACUGGGCGUAAAGCGCACGUAGGCGGCUUUGCAAGUUAGAGGUGAAAGCCCGGGGCUCAACCCCGGAAUUGCCUUUAAAACUGCAUCGCUAGAAUUGCGGAGAGGUAAGUGGAAUUCCGAGUGUAGAGGUGAAAUUCGUAGAUAUUCGGAAGAACACCAGUGGCGAAGGCGACUUACUGGACACAUAUUGACGCUGAGGUGCGAAAGCGUGGGGAGCAAACAGG
rnacentral:rRNA from 1 species